rnacentral:rRNA from 1 species
CCUACGGGGGGCAGCAGUGAGGAAUAUUGGUCAAUGGACGAGAGUCUGAACCAGCCAAGUAGCGUGAAGGAUGACUGCCCUAUGGGUUGUAAACUUCUUUUAUAUGGGAAUAAAAUGUUCCACGUGUGGGAUUUUGUAUGUACCAUAUGAAUAAGGAUCGGCUAACUCCGUGCCAGCAGCCGCGGUAAUACGGAGGAUCCGAGCGUUAUCCGGAUUUAUUGGGUUUAAAGGGAGCGUAGGUGGAUUGUUAAGCCAGUUGUGAAAGUUUGCGGCGCAACCGUAAAAUUGCAGUUGAAACUGGGAGGCUGGAGUACAGUAGAGGUGGGCGGAAUUCGUGGUGUAGCGGUGAAAUGCUUAGAUAUCAGGAAGAACUCCGAUUGCGAAGGCGGCUCACUGGACUGCAACUGACGCUGAGGCUCGAAAGUGUGGGGAUCAAACAGGAUUAGAUACCCUUGUAGUC